AACCUUACUCUAGCCCACAACCUAUUUAAAGAGUCAAAAAAUAAACUUUUUUUAUCAAUUAAAACAUUUCUUCAUCCCUAGUAUAGGAGAUAGAAAAGGACCCCAUCAGGCGCAAUAGAGAAUGUACCGUAAGGGAAAGAUGAAAUAAUAAUGAAAACCUUAAGUGCAAAACAGCAAAGAUAAACCCUUGUACCUUUUGCAUCAUGAUUCAGCAAGAAUAACCAAGCAAAAUGAACUUAAGCUUGCCCCCCCGAAACCCAAGCGAGCUACCCACAAGCAGCUACACACUGAGCUAACCCGUCUCUGUCGCAAAAGAGUGGGAUGACUUGUCGGUAGAGGUGAAAAGCCAAUCGAGCUGGGUGAUAGCUGGUUGCCUGUGAAACGGAUCUUAGUCCCCCCCUGAUCUACCUCCCUCACCGACCUCCACCCAACAGUCAUGUAGCCACUCAGGAGUAAUUUAAAGGGGGUACAGCCCCUUUAAAAAAGAAUACAACCUCACCAAGCGGAUAAUCACCACCAGUAUACCUAAUUGUUGGCCUUCAAGCAGCCACCAGUAAAGAGUGCGUCAAAGCUCUAAAUCCUAAAAAUUCCGAAACAAUGUGAAUCCCUUUCUUCCCCCCAACAGGCCAAUCUAUGAAAAUAGAGGAAUUAAUGCUGAAAUGAGUAACUAAGGGGCCCCCCUCCAAAGCGCAAACUUACAUUACCAUAUUAUUACUCAGACAACAGAUACUCAUAACCCAACAAGACACCGUAUCAUAAACUUCUCCGUUAAACCAACGCAGGGGCGCUUAAUUGUGAAAGAUUUAAAUCUGUAGAAGGAACUCGGCAAACCUCUGGGGCCCGACUGUUUACCAAAAACAUAGCCUUCAGCCUACCAAGUAUUGAAGGUGAUGCCUGCCCAGUGACACCUUGUUUAACGGCCGCGGUAUCCUAACCGUGCAAAGGUAGCGCAAUCAAUUGUCCCAUAAAUCGAGACUUGUAUGAAUGGCUAAACGAGGUCCCAACUGUCUCCUAUAGAUAAUCAGUGAAAUUGAUCUUUCCGUGCAAAAGCGGAAAUAAAAACAUAAGACGAGAAGACCCUGUGGAACUUCAAAAUCAACGACCACAACACGCCCAACCUAUAAACCCUUUGGGUUUCACUUCCCCACACAUUGGUCCGUAUUUUUUGGCUGGGGCGGCCCUGGAGAAAAACAAAUCCUCCAGAAACAAGACCUCACCUCUUAACCAAGAGCAACCUCUCAACGUACUAACAGUUCCCAGACCCAGUACAACUGAUUAAUGAACCAAGCUACCCCAGGGAUAACAGCGCAAUCCCCUUCAAGAGCCCAUAUCGACAAGGGGGUUUACGACCUCGAUGUUGGAUCAGGACAUCCUAAUGGUGUAACCGCUAUUAAGGGUUCGUUUGUUCAACGAUUAACAGUCCUACGUGAUCUGAGUUCAGACCGGAGCAAUCCAGGUCGGUUUCUAUCUAUGACAGAUUCUUCCUAGUACGAAAGGACCGGAAAAAUAAGGCCCAUACCACAAGCACGCCUUCCCCUUAAGUAAGGAACACAACUAAACUACCUUAAAGGACUGAACACUAUAAUCCUAAAAAAGGAUA
rnacentral:rRNA from 1 species